rnacentral:misc_RNA from 1 species
CGCUCGCUCGAUGUGUUCGAGAGGGUCAAUCAGGACAUUCCGCUGCAAGGCCUGAACUGGUUCUUCGAUCAUGCGGAGACGAUUUCCGAUCAAUCCAUCGACCGCAUCGCGGCGCUCGGAGGCGGCAUCGCUGUGCAGCAUCGCAUGGCCUAUCAGGGCGAAUACUUCGUGGAGCGCUACGGACUCGGCGCGGCGGAGGCGACGCCACCGGUGAAGAAGAUCAUCGACAAAGGCG